AUGCCCGUCAAACUAGUCGGCGUUGAUGUCGAGUACACGCACUACGUGAAGCCACAGCGGGCAGCAGUGCUCCAGAUAUGCGUAGAAAAAGAAUGCCUUGUCUACCACAUCUCUGCAGCUAAAGACAGGCCAAUGGAACUAGACAAAUUACUCAUGAAUGGUGAGUACACCUUCGUUGGAUUCGCCAUUGAAGGAGACAAAAGCAAGCUGAAGCUAUCUGGUUUGGAGAUCAACUCUGACAACUACAUUGAUAUUCAGGUGGAAUGGAGAGACCCAUACAAUAAAAAGAAGUUUGACUCUUUGGCUGAUGUUGCCGGCAGGAUGAUAGACAUUCACUACAAUGACAUGAAGAAAAAAAUUAACCGCAAGGAGGACCAUACUCUGUGGGGAUUCUGCUCACUACCAGAAAAGCUUAUCAAGUAUGCAGCAAUAGAUGCAUUCACAACAUAUGAGUCAUGGAGAAUCAUCUACGAUGUCAUCAUGGGACUGGACAGGGCAAAAAGAGACAAAGAAGCAAAGCAGAAGAAGAACAAGGCUGUAAUCCAAUACAACAACUAG
rnacentral:rRNA from 1 species